rnacentral:rRNA from 1 species
UACAGAGGUCUCAAGCGUUGUUCGGAAUCACUGGGCGUAAAGGGUGCGUAGGCCGCUACGGUAAGUCAGAGGUGAAAAUCCCCGGAGCUCAGCUCCGGAAUGGCCUCCGAUACUGCCGUGCUCGAGGACUGGGAGAGGAGUCUGGAAUUCACAGUGGAGCAGUGAAAUGCGUAGAUAUUGUGAGGAACACUAGUGGCGAAGGCGAGACUCUGGACAGUUCCUGACGCUGAGGCACGAAGGCCAGGGGAGCAAACGGG